rnacentral:tRNA from 1 species
AAUAGAAUGCCUGAUAAAAGUUAUCUUGAUAGGAUAAAUAAUGUAUAAAUUUAUACUUUUAUUG